GAUGAACGCUGGCGGCGUGCCUAAUACAUGCAAGUCGAGCGAACAGACGAGGAGCUUGCUCCUCUGACGUUAGCGGCGGACGGGUGAGUAACACGUGGAUAACCUACCUAUAAGACUGGGAUAACUUCGGGAAACCGGAGCUAAUACCGGAUAACAUGUUGAACCGCAUGGUUCAACAGUGAAAGACGGUCUUGCUGUCACUUAUAGAUGGAUCCGCGCCGCAUUAGCUAGUUGGUAAGGUAACGGCUUACCAAGGCAACGAUGCGUAGCCGACCUGAGAGGGUGAUCGGCCACACUGGAACUGAGACACGGUCCAGACUCCUACGGGAGGCAGCAGUAGGGAAUCUUCCGCAAUGGGCGAAAGCCUGACGGAGCAACGCCGCGUGAGUGAAGAAGGUCUUCGGAUCGUAAAACUCUGUUAUUAGGGAAGAACAAAUGUGUAAGUAACUAUGCACGUCUUGACGGUACCUAAUCAGAAAGCCACGGCUAACUACGUGCCAGCAGCCGCGGUAAUACGUAGGUGGCAAGCGUUAUCCGGAAUUAUUGGGCGUAAAGCGCGCGUAGGCGGUUUUCUAAGUCUGAUGUGAAAGCCCACGGCUCAACCGUGGAGGGUCAUUGGAAACUGGAAAACUUGAGUGCAGAAGAGGAAAGUGGAAUUCCAUGUGUAGCGGUGAAAUGCGCAGAGAUAUGGAGGAACACCAGUGGCGAAGGCGACUUUCUGGUCUGUAACUGACGCUGAUGUGCGAAAGCGUGGGGAUCAAACAGG
rnacentral:rRNA from 1 species